rnacentral:rRNA from 1 species
UGGGGAAUUUUGGACAAUGGGGGAAACCCUGAUCCAGCCAUCCCGUGUGUGCGAUGAAGGCCUCCGGGUUGUAAAGCACUUUUGGCAGGCAAGAAACGUCAUGGGUUAAUACCCCGUGAAACUGACGGUACCUGCAGAAUAAGCACCGGCUAACUACGUGCCAGCAGCCGCGGUAAUACGUAGGGUGCAAGCGUUAAUCGGAAUUACUGGGCGUAAAGCGUGCGCAGGCGGUUCGGAAAGAAAGAUGUGAAAUCCCAGAGCUCAACUUUGGAACUGCAUUUUUAACUACCGGGCUAGAGUGUGUCAGAGGGAGGUGGAAUUCCGCGUGUAGCAGUGAAAUGCGUAGAUAUGCGGAGGAACACCGAUGGCGAAGGCAGCCUCCUGGGAUAACACUGACGCUCAUGCACGAAAGCGUGGGUAGCAAACAGG